UAAACAACAAAUCAUCAGCUGCGAAGCAGCAGAGGUGACAUAUGACACUCCUAUUAUACACUCAAAAUAUUAAGAGGCGAAUUCUCAAAAAGAAGCAGGUGCCAGAAUGGCCAAAGACGUCAAAAAUAAGCCUCAGAGUCUAUGUCUCCCUUCGGGACCUCCGGCGUGGCGCUGCGGUCUCUUCCUUCUCGUCCUCUUUCUCCUCCUUGUCACCACUGCUUCCAGCACCAUCAGUCUCAGUCGCCUUGGGCUUCUUCGCCUCAGCUGCAGGUUUCACAGGAGCCUGCAACAAGCAAAUGUUGUGGGUUGGGCGUUCUCUUCAAGUCUAGGAUGACGAGGGGAGUAAAACAAUCGUUGGGAAGAACUUACCACAGGCUUCUUGCCACCGAACAGGAUCCUGAAGAGCACGGUCACAAAGACAACAACAACCGAGACCAAAAUGCCAAUAGUGAUGUUGGGCUGCUUCUCUCCCUUCUCGAUCACAUCCUGUGUGCAAGAUAUUGAGAGAAGAUGUCACUUUCUAGGUGUGACAUUCAGAUGUUUGACAAGAUAGGUUAGCAAAGAUUUCCAGAACUCACAAUGAUCUUGGUCUUGUAGGGUGCCAAGAAUGGAACAUCAGCAAUCUUGUACAGGAUGUCAAAAACCUUCUUCUGCAAUGCAGAUGGCAAAACAAGUUAGUUAUAAAAUGGAAGUAUGGUCCAGUAAAGAAAUUAACAGUAAUGGCUGUAAUAAAAAGAUAAGAAAAUGAAUUACCUGGAACUCAGAAAGACCAUCUGCACCAGCAGCAGCCUCCUCAGCCUUCUCCUUUUCCUUCUCAACUUCAUAUUUGGGCUUCCAGGUCUUCUCUAGGAUGGAGGUGGCAACCUUCUCAUCAUCAGCAAUCAAAAUAUUGUCAAACAGGAUGCCAUCCUGCAUCGUCCAGAUCUCAAUUCCAAUAGCAGCAAUUGGAUCAAAGUCAGGCUUGUCGAGCUCAAAGUACUCAGGGUUGGGGAUCUCCUGAGGCUUCCAGAUUCCCUUGUAGUUGGGAUUGUCAAUCAGGGGUGCAUGCCACUUGCCCUUGUAAG
rnacentral:lncRNA from 1 species